rnacentral:rRNA from 1 species
AGUGAACGCUGGCGGUAGGCCUAACACAUGCAAGUCGAACGGCAGCACAGUAAUAGCUUGCUCGGACGGGUGGCGAGGGGCGGAGGGGUGAGGAGGACAGCGGAAUCUACUUUUUCGGGGGGGAUAACGGAGGUAAACUUACGCUAAGACCGCAUACGACGUACGGGUGAAAGGAGCGGAACUUCGGGGCUUGCGCGAUUGAAUGGGCCGAUGUCGGAUUAGCUAGGUGGCGGGGUAAAGGCCCACCAAGGCGACGAUCCGUAGCUGGUCUGAGAGGAACGUCCGCUACACUGGAACUGAGACACGGUCCAGACUCCUACGCGAGGCCGCAGUCCGGAAUACUGGACAAUGGGCGAAAGCCUGAUACAGCCAUACGGCGUGGGUGAAGAAGGACUUCGGGUUGGAAAGCCCUUUUGUUGGGCAAGAAAAGCAGCAGGUUAAUCCCGCGCUGUUCUGACGGUACCUAAAGAAUAAGCACCGGCUAACUUCGUG